rnacentral:rRNA from 1 species
UAGUCCACGCCGUAAACGAUCAUCACUCGCUGUUGGCGAUAUACUGUCAGCGGCCAAGCGAAAGUAUUAAGUGAUGCACCUGGGGAGUACGCCGGCAACGGUGAAACUCAAAGGAAUUGACGGGGGCCCGCACAAGCGGUGGAGCAUGUGGUUUAAUUCGACGCGACGCGCAGAACCUUACCAACCCUUGACAUACUUGUCGCGGAUUCCAGAGAUGGAUUCCUUCAGUUCGGCUGGACAAUGUACAGGUGCUGCAUGGCUGUCGUCAGCUCGUGUCGUGAGAUGUUCGGUUAAGUCCGGCAACGAGUGCAACCCACGUCCUUAGUUACCAGCAUUUAGUUGGGUACCCUAAGGAGACUGCCGGUGAUAAGCCGGAGGAAGGUGUGGACGACGUCAAGUCAUCAUGGCCCUUACGGGUUGGGCUACACACGUGCUACAAUGGCAUCUACAGUGAGUUAAUCUCCAAAAGAUGUCUCAGUUCGGAUUGGGGUCUGCAACUCCG